UGGCUCAAUGGUAGAGUGCUUGCCUUGUAUGCAUGAGGCCCUAGGUUCAAUUCCUCAG
rnacentral:tRNA from 1 species